UGAGCAAAAAAAACAAAACAAAAAAAUGCAUUAAAAACUAAAAAUCUUUAAAAACGUUGCAGCUCUCACUUCCUCUCGCGAGAUUUCACCUACUGCUGGAAAAAUCCCAAAAUAUUUGUGUAAAUCUGCAGAUUUCAGCGUCAACUAAUUGACUAGUGAUUUUGACGGUUUUAUGUCGUCACAGCGGGAUUCUGCGUGGCGUAACAAAAAGGUUUUCCCGCCUGUUCUUCUUCCUUCCGCUCUCGUGUUCCUCCUCCAUCCAUUCACUCCGGCCAAUGGCAGCCACGUCCUGGUGUUUCCAGGUGAGUACAGCCAUUGGUUGAACAUGCAGAGCAUCAUGGAGGAGCUGGUGAGGAGGAACUACUCUGUGACCGUUUUAGUUUCCGACGCGUUGCCAUCCAUUGACUACAACAACAGCCGCAACAUGGCCAAGUUCAACUUCCUGCUUUUCAAGGUGAUGUCCAGGUCUCUGGUUUUCAGACUUUCAAAGACGUCCAAGAAAGGAGGUCUAGAUGCUUUUGACUUUGAUCCAAUGAAUGGUACCAUUAAAUUAAAAUGGUUACAAAAUU